rnacentral:rRNA from 1 species
GGUUAAGUUAGAAAGGCCUUACCGGUGAAUGCCUUGGCACUAGGAGCGAAGAAGGACGCGACGAACAGCGAUAUGCCUCGGGGAGUUGUAAGUAAACUUUGAUCCGGGGAUUUCCAGAUGGGGGGAACCCACCGUCAGCAAUGGGAUGGUAUCCAUAACUGAAUACAUGGGUUUAACUGAGAAGGUAGACCUGGGGAACUGAAACAUCUAGUACCCGGAAGAGAAGAAAUAUUCGAUUACCUGAGUAGCGGCGGCGAGCGAAACGGUAACAGCCCAAACCAAGGGGCUUGCCCGCUUGGGUUAUGGUUCUCCACGGAGUUACAAGCAAGUAGACGGCGAUCUGGAAAAGGUCCGCGAAACAAGGUAACAGCCCUGUAAUCGAAACUUCGUUUCCUCCAGAGUGUAUCCACAGUACGGCGGGACACGUGAAACCCCGUGGAAUCCGGGAGGAACCACCAUCUCCCAAGGCUAAAUACUUCCUAGUGACAAAUGGUGAACCAGUACCGUGAGGGAAAGGUGAAAAGCACCCCGGGAGGAGUGAAAGAGAUCCUGAAACCGUCGUGCCUACAAGUAGUUGGAGCCCAUUAACGGGCAGCGUGCCUUUGUAAGAAUGAACCGGCGAGUUACGAUUACGUGCAAGAUUUAAGCUGAUGGGCGGAGCCGCAGCGAAAGCGAGUCUGAAUAGGGCAAAGGUAGUACGUGAGUCGUAAGACGAAACCGUGUGAUCUACCCAUGUCCAGGGUGAAGUUCCAGGUAACACUGAAUGGAGGGCCCGAACUCCACGCACGUUGAAAAGGAAUUUACGGGGAUGAACAGGCAGGAGUGAAAUGCCAAUCGAACUCGGAGAUAGCUGGUUCUCCCGAAAUAGCUUUUAGGAGCUAGCCUCGAGGGAAGAGCAAUGGUGACACUGAUUGGACUAGGGGUCCCCACAGGAUUACCGAAGAUUCAGUCAACUCCGAGAUGCCAAAUACUUAUCCUCGGGAGUCAGACUGCGAGUGCUAGAUCCGUAGUCAAGGGAAACAGUGAACCAUCCUUCAGGUCCCAAGUAUACGUUAAGUGGAGAAGGAUGUGGGAGGUACCCGAACUAGCCAGGAUGUUAACCCAGCAACCACCAUUUAAAGAGUGCCACGUAGCAGCUCACUGGUCGAGUGACUUCUGCGCCGAAAAUGUACCGGGAGCUAAACGUAUCACAAAAGCUAUGGAUUGACACUACAGGUGUCAGUGGUAGAGGCGUUCUAAGUGCUGUGAAGUCAAACCGGAAGGACUGGUGGAGCGCUUAGAAGUGAGAAUGCCGGUAUGAGUAGCGAAAAAGGGGUGGGAAUCCCCUCCGUCGAAAUACAAGGUUUCCUGAGGGAAGGCUCGUCCGCUCUCGAAAUUAAGUGGGACCCUAAGCCGAGGCUGAAAAGCGCUUAGGCGAUGGACAACAGGUUGAAAUUCCUGUACCACCUCCUGCCGUUUGAGCAAUGGAGGACGCAGCAAAGGUAAGGGUAAGCGCACUGAUGGAUAUGUGCGUCAAAAGCAGUGGGGCUGAGAAGUAGGCAAAUCCGCUUCUACGCGAAGAAGCUGAGUUGUGAUGGCGAGCGAGUAUAGUAGCGAGUUCCUGAUCCUACACUGCCAAGAAAAGCCUCUAGCGAAGGUGAGAGGUGCCCGUACCGCAAACAGCACGGGUAGGCGAGAGAGAUUCUAAGACGCUCAGGGGAGAACUCUCGUUAAGGAACUCGGCAAAAUGACCCCGUAACUUCGGGGAAAGGGGUGCUCUGUUAGGGUGUUUCGCGCCCGAGAGAGCCGCAGUGAAUAGAUCCAAGCGACUGUUUAGCAAAAACACAGGUCUCUGCGACGCAAGGCGAAGUAUAGGGGCUGACACCUGCCCGGUGCUGGAAGGUUAAGAGGAGGAGUUAUCCUUAGGCUCUGAAUUGAAGCCCAAUAAACCAGCGGCCGUAACUAUAACGGUCCUAAGGUAGCGAAAUUCCUUGUCGGGUAAGUUCCGACCCGCACGAAUGGUGUAACGAUUUGGAUACUGUCUCAACGAGAGACCCGGUGAAACUAUAUUACCUGUGAAGAUGCGGGUUACCCGCGACAGGACGGAAAGACCCGUAAGGGCUUUGCAGCUUGAUAUUGGAUUUUGGUACAAUUUGUACAGGAUAGGUAGGAGCCUUUGAAGCGUGGGCGCCGAGCACGUGGAGGCGUCAGUGGGAUACUACCCUGAUUGUAUUGAAAUUCUAACCUAGGACGUGAUCCGGUUCGGGGACGAAGAUAUGAGUGGGCAGUUUGACUGGGGCGGUCGCCUCUAAGUAAACAGUAACGGAGGCGCCCAAGGUUCCCUCAGAAUGGUUGGAAAUCAUUCGUAGAGUGCAAAGGCAUAAGGGAGCUUGACUGCGAGACCUACAAGUCGAGCAGGGACGAAAGUCGGGCUUAGUGAUCCGGUGGUUCCGCAUGGAAGGGCCAUCGCUCAACGGAUAAAAGCUACCCUGGGGAUAACAGGCUUAUCUCCCCCAAGAGUCCACAUCGACGGGGAGGGGUUUGGCACCUCGAUGUCAGCUCAUCGCAUCCUGGGGCUGAAGUAGGUCCCAAGGGUUGGGCUGUUCGCCCAUUAAAGCGGUACGCAGCUGGGUUCAGAACGUCGUGAGCAAGUUCGGUCCUAUCCGUCGCGGGCGUAGGAAAUUUGAGGAAGGAGAAGCUGUCCUUAGUACAGAGGACCGGGAUGGACAUACCGCUGGUGUACCAGAUUUGGUCCGCCAGGAGCAUAGCUGGGUAGCUACGUAUGGAAGGAUAAGUGCUGAAAGCAUCUAAGCAUAAACCCCCUCAAGAUGAGAUUUCCUUGGAGUUAAUCCAGUAAGACCCUUAAAGAUGAUGAGGUUGAUAGGUCUCGGGUGAAGCACGGUGACGUGUGGAGGCUGAGAGAUACUAAUCGGUCAGGGACUUAUCUAA